AAAUGAUAGCUUUAUCGGCAACUCUGCUUUGCAAUGACUUCACAGCAAGGUUACCAAGAAGCAGAUGGGCUGUGAAGGAGACAAAUCCUUCUGUCUGAACACAAAUAGCAUUGAUAAUUAAUUAGCUGAAGCAGCAGGGGAAAUUACGAAAAUGUGUGAAAGCCAUGGCCUGUUCAUCAUAUAACAUUCAGGAUCAGAAAAUAGGAACCACUCUAGUAUUUCAAAUGCAGAGUACUGAUUAUGCUGGAAAUAGAAGAGCUGAAAAGGCAAACAGAAGAUGAUGAAGCUGCCCAGCAAGUAACACAGGAAGACGUGGCUACUACUCUUGAGCUGGAUGAGAGAUGGUAUUACAGGAACCCAGAACUGGAACUCCUGGUGGAAGCUGGAAGUUCUCCCUCUCUGUUCUAUGGCAGUUGGACCAAUGACAAAGAGGUUGUCUAACAAGAGCUAGAACUGCCGUCAUGGACACCGUCCAAAGCAGAGAGCGAUAUGAAGAAUUACUCUGGCUUGUCUCCUUCUCCUGCCAUCCAGCCCCUCAUUAGCCAAACUUCCAGAAAGCCAGAAAGCAAGGGGCUCAGGAAGUAUGUGGGGAACAGGGCCGAGAAAGAGCGACUAAUAGAUCUAAGAGUAAAUAAGUAAAUGGCCAGGGCAGACUGUGUCAUCUUGCCAUCUAAGUGGUAGAAACUCUCAGAUUAUCUAUUUUAAGUUGUCUUAAAUCCCAGUAAAAUGUGAUGCUUGAAUUCAUGUCGUUAUACUUGAGAUGGCCUCAUUACUCAUUUAGACUUUCAUUUUACACGUCAUAAAACUGUGAUCCAAAGAGGUAAAUUUAUUUAGUAAAAGUCAAAUAGCAGGUAAAGAGCAGAACCAGGACCAAAUUCAGGAAUUUUGAGACCAAGGUCAGUACUCUUCCCAUUUCACCUUGAAGUGCUCCACACACACUUAAAAAAUUGAAGUAAAUUGAUUGAACUGAGGUUAUUAUGGUGAAAGAGAAAUGACAGGUUUCCAAAGACCCAGAGAUGUGUUGCAAGUACAGUACCAUAAAGAAUAUCCCUGGUGAAGUCAUCAUAUUAAACUCUUCUUUACCCUGAA